AAGGUGUCCUAUGCUACCGCCAUGGAUUGGUUCAUAGCUGUGUGCUUUGCCUUU
rfam:Cathartes aura contig48650, whole genome shotgun sequence.